UUCAUCUGAGCCAUCUUGGAGUCUCCUCUAUGUUUUUAUACUUACAAGGUUUGGCAGGAAGCCACAAUGACUGGCAACUCUGUGGUUGUAUGCAACAUAAGGAUAUCUUCAGCGAGCACUCAUAUUUUAAGAGGCAUUGUGUAAACUGGAAACUCAAGGAACCCCUGUGACUCUCAUCAGUGUGGAGUGCACCCUCCCACGAGACAGGAGCUUUCUCUGUAGAAUCAGCUUGUAGGAGACUUUAAUGUGAUCCCCAAUGUUACUCACCAGAAAACAGGCUUGUGGGACAAAUCUGUUGAAUGCACCAACUUCCUUAAUCAGUUAUAUUUUAAGGCACAUAUGAGAAUCCAUAAUGGAAAAAAAUUCUUUGAAUUGACUCAAUUUUCAGGAGAUUUUACAUGUUCUACAAGGGGAGUUCUGCCUAUC
rnacentral:lncRNA from 1 species